AAACUAAAAAUUCAAGAACCUAUUGUGAAAUGGUAAAAAAGAAACUGCUAGCGCUACUGUGCAGACUACCAUCAAUCAACAUGAUCAACAAAAUCAAGUAAUCCUUCUGAAGAUGGAGUAGUACACAAGCACAAUUUUUUUAAAGAAAGAAAAGUCAAUGGAAUGAAAGCCAAAGAAAAGGUGAAGUGAAUUGUCACUCAUUAUAUUUUAAAUUUAAUGUGGACAUGGUCAUUAUUUUAGUUAUGUCAUAACCUUCUUAUCAAUUUUAAGCAGUGCAGACAGAUGCAUUUCUUAUUGCUUUGAAUAGAAUAAAUUAUCAAAAAAGUUUGUAUAUGUU